AAAUUGAAGAGUUUGAUCAUGGCUCAGAUUGAACGCUGGCGGCAGGCCUAACACAUGCAAGUCGAACGGUAACAGAAAGCAGCUUGCUGCUUUGCUGACGAGUGGCGGACGGGUGAGUAAUGUCUGGGAAACUGCCUGAUGGAGGGGGAUAACUACUGGAAACGGUGGCUAAUACCGCAUAACGUCGCAAGACCAAAGAGGGGGACCUUCGGGCCUCUUGCCAUCAGAUGUGCCCAGAUGGGAUUAGCUAGUUGGUGAGGUAACGGCUCACCAAGGCGACGAUCCCUAGCUGGUCUGAGAGGAUGACCAGCCACACUGGAACUGAGACACGGUCCAGACUCCUACGGGAGGCAGCAGUGGGGAAUAUUGCACAAUGG
rnacentral:rRNA from 1 species